rnacentral:lncRNA from 1 species
CUCCAUUUGGUCUUUGCUAAAAGGUGUUGUAUCUCGAGUUGUAUCUCCCUGGUGAGAGCUUGUAGAGGUUGUAUUACCUCUGAUUUCUCUUCCACAAAAUGGCUUUGCAUCAACGGGUCUUCCAUGAAUAACCCAGAAAGUCUCUUUAGUGUAGCCUGGCUUCUAGCAAUGCUCUCCCCAUGGGUGAUUCUUCCUUUGUUGAAGUCGUAUUUGAUUUGCUCGUGCUGCCAUAGCUUGGUUUUCAGAAUAAGAGGUUGAGUUGACAUUUCCCAACAUGAGUUGUCUCCUAGAACUCUCUCAUGUACUUCAUCAAGAUCUUUAUUGAGACCAAGUAAUAAUUUUUAAAUCUGAUCUUUUUCAACUAGUUCCUUGUAUUGCUUCUUAUCUUUAGGACAUCUCCACCCAAUUUCUUCGUAAACAUCAAGUUGCUGCCAAUGUUGACUUAAAAUAUUAACGUAUUUAGUGAAAGUGGAUCCAUCUUGUAGUAGACCAUGAAGUAGGCUUUCGAUUUUGAAUAUUGUAGAGGUGUUGUCCACAUUCGAAUAUGUUUCUUCCACUGCAUCCCACAUCUCCUUGGU